rnacentral:rRNA from 1 species
AUUGAACGCUGGCGGAAUGCUUUACACAUGCAAGUCGAGCGGCAGCACGGGGGCAACCCUGGUGGCGAGCGGCGAACGGGUGAGUAAUACAUCGGAACAUGCCCAGUCGUGGGGGAUAACACUUCGAAAGAAGUGCUAAUACCGCAUACGUCCUGAGGGAGAAAGCGGGGGAUCUUCGGACCUCGCGCGAUUGGAGUGGCCGAUGUCAGAUUAGCUAGUUGGUGGGGUAAAGGCCUACCAAGGCAACGAGCUGUAGCUGGUCCGAGAGGAUGAUCAGCCACACUGGGACUGAGACACGGCCCAGACUCCUACGGGAGGCAGCAGUGGGGAAUUUUGGACAAUGGGGGCAACCCUGAUCCAGCCAUUCCGCGUGAGUGAAGAAGGCCUUCGGGUUGUAAAGCUCUUUCGGCAGGAACGAAACGGCGAGCUCUAACAUAGCUUGCUAAUGACGGUACCUGAAGAAGAAGCACCGGCUAACUACGUGCCAGCCGCCGCGGUAACAC